AGAAUCAACGCUGGCGGCGUGCCUCAGACAUGCAAGUCGAACGAUUAAAGCUCUCUUCGGAGAGUGCAUAGAGUGGCGCACGGGUGAGUAACACGUAAGUAAUCUACCCUCGAGUGGGGAAUAACAUCGGGAAACCGAUGCUAAUACCGCAUAAUGCAGCGGCACCGCAAGGUGACAGUUGUUAAAGAUUUAUCGCUUGAGGAGGAGCUUGCGGCAGAUUAGCUAGUUGGUAAGGUAAUGGCCUACCAAGGCUACGAUCUGUAACCGGUCUUAGAGGACGGUCGGUCACACUGACACUGAAUAACGGGUCAGACUCCUACGGGAGGCAGCAGUCGGGAAUUUUGGGCAAUGGGCGAAGCCUGACCCAGCAACGCCGCGUGAAGGAUGAAGUAUUCGGUAUGUAACUUCGAAAGAUAGGAAGAAUAAAUGACGGUACCAUUUAUAAGGUCCGGCUAACUACGUGACCAACAGCCGC
rnacentral:rRNA from 1 species